UACGUAGGUGGCAAGCGUUGUCCGGAUUUAUUGGGUUUAAAGGGUGCGUAGGCGGUCCUGUAAGUCAGUGGUGAAAUACGGCAGCUCAACUGUCGAGGUGCCAUUGAUACUGCGGGACUUGAGUACAGUCGAGGUGGGCGGAAUUGACGGUGUAGCGGUGAAAUGCUUAGAUAUCGUCAAGAACACCGAUAGCGAAGGCAGCUUACUAGGCUGUAACUGACGCUGAGGCACGAAGGUGCGGGGAUCAAACAGG
rnacentral:rRNA from 1 species